rnacentral:rRNA from 1 species
GCGCUACCUUCGGGUGGAGCGGCGGACGGGUUAGUAACGCGUGGGAAUAUACCCUUCACUAUGGAAUAGCCUCGGGAAACUGAGAGUAAUACCAUAUACGCCCUUCGGGGGAAAGAUUUAUCGGUGAAGGAUUAGCCCGCGUAAGAUUAGAUAGUUGGUGGGGUAAUGGCCUACCAAGUCUACGAUCUUUAGCUGGUUUUAGAGGAUGAUCAGCAACACUGGGACUGAGACACGGCCCAGACUCCUACGGGAGGCAGCAGUGGGGAAUCUUAGACAAUGGGCGAAAGCCUGAUCUAGCCAUGCCGCGUGAGUGAUGAAGGUCUUAGGAUCGUAAAGCUCUUUCGCUAGGGAUGAUAAUGACAGUACCUAGUAAAGAAGCCCCGGCUAACUCCGUGCCAGCAGCCGCGGUAAUACGGAGGGGGCUAGCGUUGUUCGGAAUUACUGGGCGUAAAGCGUACGUAGGCGGAUCAGAAAGUAUGGGGUGAAAUCCCAGGGCUUAACCCUGGAACUGCCUCAUAAACUCCUGGUCUUGAGUUCGAGAGAGGUGAGUGGAAUUCCAAGUGUA